rnacentral:rRNA from 1 species
UUGAUCCUGGCUCAGAAUCAACGCUGGCGGCGUGCCUAACACAUGCAAGUCGCGCGCGAAAGGGGGGUAACUCCCAAGUAGAGCGGCGAACGGGUGAGUUACGCGUGGGUGAUCUACCUCCGAGUGGGGAAUAACCCCGGGAAACUGGGUCUAAUACCGCAUGACAUCUUCGGGUCACACUGAAGAUCAAAGCCGGGGAUCGCAAGGCCUGGCGUUUGGAGAUGAGCCCGCGUCCGAUUAGCUAGUUGGUGGGGUAACGGCCCACCAAGGCGACGAUCGGUAGCCGGCCUGAGAGGGCGUACGGCCACACUGGGGCUGAGACACGGCCCAGACUCCUACGGGAGGCAGCUGUGGGGAAUUUUUCGCAAUGGGGGAAACCCUGACGAAGCAACGCCGCGUUGAGGAUGAAGGCCUUCGGGUCGUAAACUCCUGUCGACUGGGACGAAAGUUGUCUGGCCUAAUACGCCAGGCUAUCGACUGUACCGGUGGAGGAAGCCACUGCUAACUCUGUGCCAGCAGCCGCGGUAAUAAGGU